CUGCCCCAGCCUACCAUGCAGUCGAACGGUAACAUUUCUAGCUUGCUAGAAGAUGACGAGUGGCGGACGGGUGAGUAAUGCUUGGGAACUUGCCUUUGCGAGGGGGAUAACAGUUGGAAACGACUGCUAAUACCGCAUAAUGUCUUCGGACCAAACGGGGCUUUUAGCUCCGGCGCAAAGAGAGGCCCAAGUGAGAUUAGCUAGUUGGUAAGGUAACGGCUUACCAAGGCGACGAUCUCUAGCUGUUCUGAGAGGAAGAUCAGCCACACUGGGACUGAGACACGGCCCAGACUCCUACGGGAGGCAGCAGUGGGGAAUAUUGCACAAUGGGGGAAACCCUGAUGCAGCCAUGCCGCGUGUGUGAAGAAGGCCUUCGGGUUGUAAAGCACUUUCAGUUGUGAGGAAAAGUUAGUAGUUAAUACCUGCUAGCCGUGACGUUAACAACAGAAGAAGCACCGGCUAACUCCGUGCCAGCAGCCGCGGUAAUACGGAGGGUGCGAGCGUUAAUCGGAAUUACUGGGCGUAAAGCGCACGCAGGCGGUUUGUUAAGCUAGAUGUGAAAGCCCCGGGCUCAACCUGGGAUGGUCAUUUAGAACUGGCAGACUAGAGUCUUGGAGAGGGGAGUGGAAUUCCAGGUGUAGCGGUGAAAUGCGUAGAUAUCUGGAGGAACAUCAGUGGCGAAGGCGACUCCCUGGCCAAAGACUGACGCUCAUGUGCGAAAGUGUGGGUAGCGAACAGGAUUAGAUACCC
rnacentral:rRNA from 1 species